rnacentral:rRNA from 1 species
CCUUACCCACCUUUGACAUGGCAGGAAGUUUCCAGAGAUGGAUUCGUGCUUGAAAGAGAACCUGCACACAGGUGCUGCAUGGCUGUCGUCAGCUCGUGUCGUGAGAUGUUGGGUUAAGUCCCGCAACGAGCGCAACCCUCGUCAUUAGUUGGUACAUUUAGUUGGGCACUCUAAUGAGACUGCCGGUGACAAACCGGAGGAAGGUGGGGAUGACGUCAAGUCCUCAUGGCCCUUAUAGGUGGGGCUACACACGUCAUACAAUGGUUGGUACAGAGGGUUGCCAACCCGCGAGGGGGAGCUAAUCCCAUAAAACCAGUCGUAGUCCGGAUCGCAGUCUGCAACUCGACUGCGUGAAGUCGGAAUCGCUAGUAAUCG